GAAAAGAGCCACCAAAGGCUGUAACGGCGUUCCAUAAGGAAGAAGAUGUUGAGGAAAUGCCAUCUCAGACCAAAAAAGAAAAACAACGAAAUCUAUAUACCGACGAAAACGGGAGGUUGAAAGUGUAAAUAAGUACAGAAACUACAUAGCAGCUUUGCAAACCAGGGAGGAGAUCUUGAGUACUCUUUGUGGUUCUCUCUUGUCAAAAAAGACUGGGUAGCUGAAAAAAAUCUUGUCAAGUCUACAUUCGAAUACGCUGUGAACAUAAUUGAAAUGGCUCUGUACAU